rnacentral:lncRNA from 1 species
AGAAAGCAUGGAGCUCAGCCAUAAAGAUCAUCUGCCCUGGCUGUGGACUGUUCCUGGGAGUUGACAUUCUCUAAGGAGCUUUAGCAGAGCAUUUCAUCAGGAGAUGCUGCAAGAAGACAGGUGUUUGGGUAUCCAGUUCACCACGAUUACACCAAACCCUCCCCGAGAGAGAAGACAGGAUUAUUGUUCAUUACUCUGGACACACUCCUUCCUCUGGGCUUUCUAAUGUGGACUCUAUUCAUUUCUCGAAUCCUCCUCUGUGUGUUUCAAAUAGGAGCGGCCUUUCUAAGCAAUGUCUGACCCAAAGACCAUGCCAUCUUUAAGCUGUAGAUGUGGUCCGGUGACUGGUUAGAGCUGUGUCUCCACUCUGAUAGAGGAAGCAAGUCCGAGAGACAAAGGCUGGCAUGGGAGGAGUGGAAAGACCCCUGGAGAUGGACGAGAUCCAAGCUCUGGUCAUCGCCGCCACUUUUCUCCUCAGCCUUUAGCAUGGGGCCACUGAAUCUCUCCUCUCAGAAGUGAAGUCAAAGUUUCAUUUUCUGCCUUUUGCAGCCAAUGAGUCUUCUCAAACAACACCUGCCACCUUAUUCAAGUCUCUACAGCUAGUAGUGGAUUCAGGAUUCUGCAUUCAAUAAUGGCCUUCAUAAACUAUCUUCUGUUUUCAGCCUGAAAUAACAUUUGUCAUUAUGGGAUUUAGGGGCGUGGUGACUGAUCACAUGUUACACUUGUCACAGGUGCUAGGAGGGUCCCAUGUUAGCACUGCAGCAUGAAAUGAUAGCUUCCCAUGCAUUCUGACCAUAUACUGAGCCUGAGUUUGUUCCUUUGGCAUUAGGUCAACUAUCCCGCAGACUAUUUCUAACAAUUGACUAAUUAAUUGGCUUUCCUCAAGCUUAAUCUGGGAAGACCAGAUGGGAGAGACUGCAGCAUGCUUAUCAGCAAUCGUCUUGGUCAUGUGAUUGAUUUCCUAUUUGCAUGGUGCAUAGAGCAUUGGGUAUAAAAGAUGAAAUAAUGUAUUUGGACACUGAUAAACCAGCUAGGUUGCCUUAGGAAAACAAUAUUACUCGUUUGGGUCCUGCUUUUCCCAUUUGCUGGCUGGAGACAUCCCAUAGUAUCUGCCUUCUACAGAGAGGAUGGGAUCGGGGAAGAUAAGCCCAGCAGCACUUUGUCCUUAGCUAUGCUUUCUCAGAGAGUCAUGUCAGGCUCAUCCCUAAACAAACAGGCUGCUGUAGAACUGACAGGUUUGCUCUGAUAAAUACAUGGCCCAAGGCAGGGUCACUCUUGCAAGAGCUGCCCUGAUGUACUUGAUGAAGGAGCUGAGGUGAGCCUCCCUGACUCUGAUAAGCUCAUUUGUCAGCUGCCCCUGCUUUGAAAGCCUCUUGGCUCAGGAUUUGGUGAUGAAAAUGGCUCUUGAGUCUUUUGCCACCCUCCCCCCUCUGUCCUUAUGACGCACACACUAGUAUGUGUCCUAACUAAUGCCCUGGCUGGAAUCUAAGUGCAACCUGACAGAUUGUUCCUUGCUAAGCCUCCUGCCAGCAUGCUGCUGGAGAGCACAGCUCUCCUGUAUAAAGCCCAGUAAGGAUGGCUGAUGGGCCGGCAUGGGCCACUUGUUCAGGGGCCCAUCUAGUUCUGAAUGUGCCUCUGUCCUUGCCCUUGCCAUACAUUUUUUUUC